GGUUUCCUGCCUUCUCUUAGUUUUCAGCCUGACCUUUCUUUACUUUCUUGUUAACUGACAGAUGAAUUUAAAAAGAUUGAAAAUUAUAUUUUAUCUAGCAUUUGUAGUUGUUUUCAGCAGGAAGAUUGAUCUAGGGAAACAGUCUGUCAUUUUUGUCGCAAACUGAACUGCUUUGACUUUUUGUUUUAGGGCUCUGGGGCCUGGUCAACAACGCAGGCGUUAUUCACUCAUCUGCCUACAGUGAGUGGCUGAACAUGGAGGCCUAUGUCAACGUCCUCAAAGUCAACCUCCUUGGUGUCAUUGAGGUGACCUUGAGCAUGCUUCCCUUGGUCAGGAAAGCCCAGGGGAGGAUUGUCAACGUCUCCAGCAUUCUGGGAAGAAUUGCUUUCUUUGGAGGCGUCUACUGAAGCUCCAAGUAUGGAGUAGAAGCCUUUUCGGAUGUUCUGAGGUGUGAGCUUCAACAUUUUGGAGUGAAAAUCAGCAUGGUUGAACCUGGCUACUUCAGUACUGGAAUGACAAACGUGCAGGAGUCCUUGGAGAAACUGAAGCAAACCUGGGAAGAAGUCCCCACGCAUAUUAAGGAGAGCUAUGGACAGAAGCUUUUUGAUGCCCAUUACAAUCAAAUCAAACAAGGGCUGUUGGGUGCCAGCACGAACCUGAACCUGGUCACUGACUGCAUGGAGCACGCUCUGACGUCUGUGCACCCCCGCACUCGGUACUCAAGCGGCUGGGAUGCUCAGUUUUUCUUCAUCCCUCUAUCUUACUUACCUACAUCUCUGGCAGACUACAUCCUGACUAGGUCUUGGCCCAAACCAGCUCAGGCAGUCUGAAGAAAACUGGUCUGCUGGCUCCUGAAACAAAGAAGACAAACAUCUGAUAUUGAUUGUUAGCAUCUCAAUAAUCCUUAUUUAGAACUGCACAUUUUGUAAUAACAAGCUUUCUUGCCUAAACUUAUUUAUCUGGUGUCAUCAGGGAGCCAAGAUGUUUAUAGUCCAGAUAGCCAAAGCUUAUUCCUUUAGAGAUGACUCUUUCCUAUUUUAAUCUUCUUUUGAUGAUGGUAUUUCCAAAAUGCAUCAUGCUUCCUUACCUUAUUAAACAGAACAGACUGAAAACAAUUUAACUUGUUUUGAUGUUAUUUCUUUAUGUAAAUGAAUAGCUCUUCUGUGCUGUGAUAAAUUAUUGCUCAGGGCCUGUUGAGAAAUAUCCUCACUUGAAAUGGAUCUGUACUGAUACUUUUAAUAAAUAUUUUUUUUGUUUUCUCCUCUCUA